rnacentral:rRNA from 1 species
UACAGAGGUCUCAGGCGUUGUUCGGAUUCAUUGGGCGUAAAGGGCGCGUAGGCGGCGGGGUAAGUCUGGUGUGAAAUCUCGGAGCUCAACUCCGAAAUUGCACUGGAUACUGCUCUGCUUGAGGGUUGGAGAGGAGAUCGGAAUUCACGGUGUAGCAGUGAAAUGCGUAGAUAUCGUGAGGAAGACCAGUGGCGAAGGCGGAUCUCUGGACAAAUCCUGACGCUGAGGCGCGAAGGCUAGGGGAGCAAACGGG